CCCCACUUAUCUCCUUCUGCAACCUCCUAAUCCAUCUAAUGGGAUUCCUCCCUGGCCGGUGAUGUGCAACGUCUCCACACAGGAGCGUCGGUUCAUUUGUUGACGGACUGAGGAGACUCGGCAGGCGGCGAACUACUGGAUGCGGCGGAGGUUGGGGGACAGAGAUCUGCCGGCGUGAGCCUCGGGGGCAGUGGCGGUGAUUGGCCGGGCAGAUCGGAGCAAGCAUCUGCUACGACGAACUACUUCGUCUUCAACUUACAGGUGGAAUGUGCAGAGCAAAGACGGAAGUACAGCCGUGCUGCCUUGGGUAGCCGCCCUAGAUUCGUUGUGCCCCCGCCUAUUGUGAUCUACUCGCUCAGGCUGUGGUACAGAAAAUCCUCAAAUUCUUCUUGUGUCUCAAACUCAUGUAGUAAAUCUAUUUCUUGCUUAAUUGCUGCAAAGUUUGUCGUUCGACUCUGCAAACUGUAGGUGCUCUGCUCCGUGGUAGCAGUAAAGUAGAUAUUCACAUCAACAGAAAAAACUUCUAAACAUUGGGCGUACAUACAAUUUGAAUGUCCUCUCAGUUUGAUUACUGCUCGGGUUGGUUGUGUGUUGUUUACAGAUCAUGGGAAGAGGUGAAAAAUUGUUGGCUGGACAACGCUCGUCGUGUGUGGUGUACAACCUGUCGGGUUGCAAUGUUGGCUUUGCAGGAUGACAGUGUUGGGAUCGGCGAGCACCUUCGGCUUCCUCCUUGUCGCCGGUUUGCCAUCUGUCCUUGCAUAGUGCGCUCGCGGCAAAACUCUAGAUGUUGCGCCGGCAUCGGUGCCCAUCAGCGUUGUUGCCUUGGAGAUGCCAGCACGCGACUCGACCGCUGGCGUGUCAUGCCCGAGUGCUAUUUAUAGGACUCACUCCAAUUGAUCCCAACCAAUCCCAAGUGAUGGGAUCAUACACGACCAAAAAGUUUCUCUAAAGGUGUGUAUAGCCGCCUUCCUUGUCUCCUUGUAGUUGCUGCUUUCUGGCAAAUAGAACAAAUUGGUCUAGCCACACACUCACUUGUCCACCUGCGUUGUCAAACAAAUGGAAUUAAGAUUUGAAGUUAGUUGAAAAUUGAUAAUGUGUUGAUAAUUUUUACAUCACACAACCAAGUAGAAUCUGAUACACAGGGGACACGAAAAUGUCCCAUCCAUGUUUUGAUUGCAUCCGUGUAUUCAACAUUCACAUAGCAUGUUAUGUUUCACCAGGAAAAUAAAUUAAUAAAAGAUCAUGGAACAUAUUUUACUCAAAAUUUCUUCAUCACCUUAGUGAAUUAGAGAAUAGAAUAAUAACGUAUCUUUUAUUAUGAGCAUGAGUGGUACAUCUUUUUCAGCAAAAAAAAGUGGAUUGGGAGAAAAAUAUGAUAGUUUGAAACCAAUUGUUUUAGUGAUAAUAUUCAAAUAUGCAAAUUAUUUGCUUAAUGAAAUGCUGACUAUAUAUAUUCAGAAGUAUAACAGAGUUAUAUAGGUGUUACUCUGCCGACAUGGCUCUGCCUCUUGCUUGCGAAGAUGAUUUUCUUUUUAUGCUAUCUGGCAGUUCUCAUCUCAUAAUGGCUAUCGUUUGUUGUUGAUGCUAUUAUCUCUUAGUUUAAUUCUGCCUAUAGCGCAAGAUUUGAUUUCAUUCACGGUCCAUUAUUUAGCUACUUCAGCAGCCUGCUAGCCUUGCUAUCUCUAAGGAGAAAGAUAAAUGUCUUAACGAUAUUGCCAUUCCUGACAUUGAAAACGGUCAUGCUCUUCAUGCCCAACAAGUGUUACCUUUGAUUAGGCAUGCAAAUUCUUUACAAUCUCUUUGUCCAUUUCAGGGGAGAGCAUUUCAACGGAAGCAUGGACUAGAUGUGUACGGUAGAUGGCAAGCUAUUUUACUCAUGCAAUUAGAUGAAAAAAAAUUCAUAAUGUCCACUUUAAUGUUUAUUUGGCUCAUGAUUAAUGGUUAUUUUUUUAACUUCCAAAUGUUGGCUAGCAAUUGAUAUAAUAUGAUUUAAAAUGUCAUGAUCCGUUGAUUUACGGUCAUUGUUACAUUUGAUAAUUUAUAGUCAAAUAAAUGAACUUCAAUUGUUUCGGGCCUGGCAUGUCAUGUUAGCAUUGGUUUACAUUAUAGUACAAUGAAUGUAUGAUGAAAACAACAUCGCAAGAUCACUCAGCACUAUAGGCCGGCAGAGCAAAGCACACAUACACUACUAGUUUACUUGACGAAUACUUCAUUUGUUUGCAUCAUGCAUGCAUGUUUAGCUUUCAAAAUGAUUUUUUUAUCUUUUAACAAAACCUUAUUCUAAGCAGACAGAAAGUAUGUCUAGGGCAAGGCUACUUAGUGCAUUCGAGUACAUGAUGUUAGUACUCUUGGAAAUUAUCGUUCUUGAGCUGAUUAUGUGUCUCCAAUCAUAUCCCUUUCUAUUUAAUUGCAGAAUGCUCAUACUGAAAAUAGCAAUGCAGGCAAGCUAGGUGGUCUUCACCAAAUUACUGAGCAGGUACAUAUAUGCUAGGUAUCCAAAUGGUUGUACAACAAUACCUAGUCUAAUUAUCUAUGAAAUUGUCCUUGUUUGAGUAAUGUGAAAUCUUCCCAAGUUCAUGAAUAACAAAUGUUUCAUUUUUUUGCAAAAAAUGGGAUAAAACUGAACUCUUGUUCUUUUCGAUCAAUUCGAGAAACAAAACCAAACUUGUGGCCAAUGGAAUUUUAGGGAGUAAAGAUAGAACAUAUGUGGUUGAAGGAAACAUGCUAGGAGAGCAAUAUCUUGCAGUCUCUGUUUGUGGCUCUACAAAUCUAGGAGAUGAUAGUUGGUUAGACCAGAUGGAACAUUCAAAACAGUAGGAGGUGUUGGUUAUGUUAUUGCUUGGCCUCGCUCACAUGUAAGCAUGUUUCUAUACAAGCAUCGAGUAUGCUCCAUUAUCUACUUUUAAGAUAUUUUAUUUUAUGAAAUAUAUUUGUGUUUUUUAGGGAAAAAACUAAGCCAGCCACUCCAACGAAACAUUUGUAUGAUAUAUUUCUUAUAUUUUAUCGAAGAACAUCGUAUCUUGCACUUGUCUAACAACAUUGUUCAUUUUAUUUUUCAGGGUGGUUAGGGAUUUGAAAAGCGAGUGCGUUAAGGGAGUCAAGAGUAGUCGGGUGGUUGAGGAUUUAACAUAGGAGUACACUGAGGGAGACAUAUUAGUUGACGAACCAUUCUGUGAAUGAAAAAGUAUUGUGGCUUUUGUUAUAUUUUAGCUUAACUGAGAGGCAU
rnacentral:lncRNA from 1 species